AACGAACGCUGGCGGCAGGCUUAACACAUGCAAGUCGAACGCAUCGCAAGAUGAGUGGCAGACGGGUGAGUAACGCGUGGGAACAUACCCUUUUCUACGGAAUAGCCCUGGGAAACUGGAAUUAAUACCGGAUACGCCCUACGGGGGAAAGAUUUAUCGGGGAAGGAUUGGACAGCGUUGGAUUAGCUAGAUGGUGGGGUAAAGGCCUACCAAGGCGACGAUCCAUAGCUGGUCUGAGAGGAUGAUCAGCCACAUUGGGACUGAGACACGGCCCAAACUCCUACGGGAGGCAGCAGUGGGGAAUAUUGGACAAUGGGCGCAAGCCUGAUCCAACCAUGCCGCGUGAGUGAUGAAGGCCUUAGGGUUGUAAAGCUCUUUCACCGAUGAAGAUAAUGACGGUAGUCGGAGAAGAAGCCCCGGCUAACUUCGUGCCAGCCGCCGCCGUAAGAC
rnacentral:rRNA from 1 species